GUCCUACGGGAGGCAGCAGUGAGGAAUAUUGGUCAAUGGGGGAGAGUCUGAACCAGCCAAGUAGCGUGCAGGAUGACGGCCCUAUGGGUUGUAAACUGCUUUUAUAAGGGAAUAAAGUGAGUCUCGUGUGAAUUGUUGCAAGUACAUUAGGAAUAAGGACCGGAUAAUUCCGUGCCAGCAGCCGCGGUAAUACGGAAGGUCCGGGCGUUAUCCGGAUUUAUUGGGUUUAAAGGGAGCGUAGGCCGGAGAAGUAGCUUGUUAAAAAUGGGGCUCUCAACCUUUGCGGUGCAGCGCGAACUGGUUUCCUUGAGUGAGAGGAAAGGGAAUUCCCAGUUGAGCAGCAAAAAGGCUUAGAUAUCAGAACACCUCCGA
rnacentral:rRNA from 1 species